rnacentral:tRNA from 1 species
GGGCCGGUAGUCUAGCGGAAGGAUGCCCAGGGACGGCGGCCGGCGUUGCGCGCUUGGCGCGCGGGAGAUCCCGGGUUCAAAUCCCGGCCGGUCCA